UACGGGAGGCAGCAGUGGGGAAUAUUGCACAAUGGGCGAAAGCCUGAUGCAGCUAUGCCGCGUGUAUGAAGAAGGCCUUAGGGUUGUAAAGUACUUUCAUUGGGGAGGAAAAAACAAAACUAAUAAUUUUAUUUCUUGACGUUACCCGAAAAAGAAGCACCGGCUAACUCCGUGCCAGCAGCCGCGGUAAUACGGAGGGUGCUAGCGUUAAUCAGAAUUACUGGGCGUAAAGAGCACGUAGGUGGUUUUUUUAAGUCAGAUGUGAAAUCCCUGGGCUUAGCCUGGAACUGCAUUUUGAAACUGAAAUACUAGAGUAUCGUAGAGGGAGGUAGAAUUCUAGGUGUAGCGGUGAAAUGCGUAGAUAUCUGGAGGAAUACCUGUGGCGAAAGCGGCCUCCUAAACGAAUACUGACACUGAGGUGCGAAAGCGUGGGGAGCAAACAGGGAUUAGAUACCCGU
rnacentral:rRNA from 1 species